rnacentral:rRNA from 1 species
AUUGAACGCUAGCGGCAUGCUUAACACAUGCAAGUCGAACGGUAACAGGCCUAGCUUGCUAGGUGCUGACGAGUGGCGAACGGGUGAGUAACGCGUAGGAAUCUACCUCGUAGUGGGGGACAACCCGAGGAAACUCGGGCUAAUACCACAUAAUCUCUACGGAGCAAAGGGGGCCUCUAUUUAUAAGCUCUCGCUAUGAGAAGAGCCUGCGUCAGAUUAGCUUGNGGUGGGUAAGGCCUACCAAGGCAACGAUCUGUAGCUGGUCUGAGAGGACGAUCAGCCACACUGGGACUGAGACACGGCCCAGACUCCUACGGG